AAAUGAGCGUUAUAACAGCCGACAUGUCCUGUUGGAAGGAGUUUUGAUCGGGAACGCACAAGCGCGCGCUGAAGUUGCAACAAUAUGAACAAACAACCCAAUGUGACGCAACAAUCACAAAUCUAUAAACAAACACCUUAAUCGGACUGUUCGGGAAUAGCUACCGACGACAUAUCUAUUCCCCUUUCUUUCUUUCCUUCUUUCUUUCUCCAGAAAAAGCGCCAUGUUGAGAGCAGCAGUGGAGUUGACCAGGGAACGACCACCCGGGUCCUUCCAAAACAUACUGUCACUUUCAUAUUCGCCCGAUAUUCCCAGAGACUCCACAGGGAAGCGCGUGAAGUGUUGAACUCUUCAGGAAAAAUCAGUAAGCGACGGCAACAUUGUAUCCAUACAGGCAAAAAGCAGGAUAAAUCCUCAUGUUGUGCUCCUCAGGUGGGAUUGGACCACCUGUUCGGCGUCUGUGCUCGUCUCGGCGUGUGUCAAUCGCGGGCGAAGUGUCCGUGGGUUGGGCUUCACACACACACACACGCUCUUCUUCAGCUCUCUGAGACUCACACUGACUCACAGCCCUUUCAAUGUGUAUCUACACGAGUAUCUGUUUCAGGUUAAUGAUAACUAGUCGGCUGUUUCAGUAGUUACUAGCAUUAGAUACUAAUGCUUACCAGUUUGGGCUGAAUUCAAUCAUUCAAGAGAUUGGCUACACUCUUAAAAAGAAA